UGAAAUAAUGAUUUUAAAAAGAAAUGUACUCUCAUCAGUUUAAUCACAGUUUUAUCACACUGAUUUUGUCAGCACUGAAACAAAACCUCUGUCACAUUAGCUGGAGUUCUCAUUAAGCAACUAAUCUGCCUAAAUCCUCAUUAAAUUGAUAAAUUCAUUUUUUAUAGACAAUGGCAUCUGAUAUAGUUUAAGAAUGUUUAGAGGGUGAAACAAAAAUUGUUGCAUACAUAGGCUUAUUGAUUGAUUCCUUUCCAAUUUUCACAUGCUAAAUAAUAUUAAAUGUUAAUUCUUCCUGUCUCCUUAAAAGG
rnacentral:lncRNA from 1 species